rnacentral:lncRNA from 1 species
UGAGAAUGAUGGCAAGUGCAAGUGCGGAGCUAGCCGCAGCUGCACAAACUGCACGCGGUGGUCAUUAAGCAAACAUAAAAUAAUAAUGUUGUACUUUAUGGCAAUAUUAUGACCUAAAAAAUAAUGAAAUUUGGGUUGAAUGAUUUGUCUUUUGUUGUCUAUUUGUCAUAUGUUUGUAUUUUUAGAAUUUCAAAUCAAAUUACCUAAAAUUGAAUUAAUCAAAUUAUAUUAUUUUAUUUUAUUAGUCGAAUAAAAUUUUUUAAUUUUGAAAAUGAACCGAUUAAAAUUAAUUUAGUUGAUUUGAUUAAUUUUUUCAAUUAAUCAAAUAAUAAAAUAUAUUAAGUUAAAUUAUAUUUAAAAAUUUUAUUUUCUCAUAUGUAAAACAAAUUAAAUAAAAUCAUCUAAUAAAAAUAUUCAAACACCAAAAUAUUAAAUUAAAAACCAUAAUAACUUAAAGUGAAAUUGAUUAUUUCAUAUAUUUUUAGUUUUAUCUAUAGGUUUUAUAAUAUUUCGAUUAAAAUUUUGGUUAAUUUAGUUUUCAAAUUGAAUUAACCAAAAAUUAAAAUUUUUAUAAAAUUAAUUUCGAUAAUCAAUCACAAUUAAUUCAGUGACCAACCAACUAACCAAAUUAAAUCAAUUCAGUCAAUUAAUUUAGUUAUGAACACCCAUAGUUUGAGAUGUUAUUGGGAAAAUUUUUUCUCUUAUUUAAAUGGGUAUAAAUAAGAAUGAAAAAGAAAAGACUUCAAGCCUGUGGAUGUAGCAGACUUUGGGCCUAUGAAAGGGAUAGUAGACUUAGACUGAAUAUCUUUUGGGCUGAAUUCACGAACAAAGAAAAAGGUCAAUACUAGAUUUUGGCCCAACAAAUGGACUAACAAUAAAAAGCCCAAUUUAUCUGAAUUUUAUUUUUUGUAAAAAGAGUAGACAACUCAUAAUUUUUAAUUUCUAAUUCAUAUAUUAUUUAAAUUAAAUUUCACUUCAUUCACCUAAUUGAUUUUAUGUAUACUAAUCUAAAUCUUUUUUUAUUUCCCAACAUAAUAUCAUUAUUUGGUUCGAUAAUUGAUUUUUUAUUUUUUAAAAGCGUCCAUGAAUGCAUGUAUAAAUAAAUAAAUUUUUAUUUUUUACAAAAACAACAUAAACCAAUACUUCAUUCAUCAAAUUGUCGAAAAGGGUUUGGUAUUUUAUGUAAUAAUCCUAAAAAACUUGAUAUGAACAUGUGAAGGAAAAAAAAAAAAGGGGGUUAGUGAAGAGGACAACCAUGAUUUUUCUUUGCUAUACAAGGAUAAAAAGAUUAAAAACUUGUAUGUAAGGCUAUUCUUUGUUCUGAUAAAAUCUUCCAAGGUUGAGAUUGAACUCUUCAAUUAAAUUCUCUCAACACACAGCCCCAAAUCAUAUAGCAAAUUCGAAAGCCACAAUUCAUCCUCGACAUGGAAAUUGAAGCUUCUUAAUAUUUGGUUUGUCAUGGCCCGAUAAGGCAGAACAUGAUUAAGUACUCCAGUUGUAUGAUCGUCCAUUGACUCGUUGUCAUCAAAAGAUACGUAUGCUUGUGCUUUGAAAUCCAUAAAUCUUUCCACUUCCUUGAUGAAAUUUGUACUGCAUAUUUUGUUAUGGGAAAGUUGAGAAUGUUUUCACAAAGUGGAUAUGCAGAUUGUUUAUUAACCAGUUUUCCCUUUCAUCCGAUGUGAAAUAAGCAAACUUACUAUAAGUUCUUACAGUAAAAAAAACAAAGGGAAAAAAUAUGAAAUAAACUAAAACAUUAACAAAAAAUGUUGGAUUGCUACAACAAAAUGGAAGAGCCAAUAUUUACCUUCCAAGAGAAGUAGGUGCAUAUAUUUCCUAUCUUCUUGAAUUGCCAUGAACAACAAUUAAAUGCAACAAUGAGCAGACAAGAAUUGUAAUCCACAACCAUUUUAAGAUCGCUAAGAGAAACACUUUGAACUCUAGCGUCUUCUCAUGUUCAUACUAAUGUCUGAAAAUUGUGUUUAUAUAGACAGUGAAAAAUAAAUACACGUGAAUUUUAGGACUAAAAUAUAAUUAUUCCAAAUAUUUUCUUUAAAUAACUUAUGAUAUUUGAAGAUUUUUAUAAGAUUACUUAGGAAAUAUAACAAUUAGCUUGAAGAUUUUUACAAUUAUCAUAAUUUUAGAAGAUUUUACAAUGAUAAUAAUUUUAGAAGAUUUUGUUAAAUUACUUAUGAAAUGUUCCUUUUAUGUAUUUUUAUAUUUUUUAAAAAUAAAUUUAAAAAAAUUUUAAAUCAAAAAAUUCUAUAAUUAAGAUGCCAUUUUAUAUCUUUUUUUAUACCUAAUUAGAGAUGUUCAUGAGUCAAGCCAAGUUGGGCUUGAACCGAGCUUAUGUUUGGUAUUAAUAAUUUAUAUGCUUGUUUAAACUUAACUUGAAAUUUUUAUUUCAAAAUUUUUUCAAGUUCGACUUAAAUUAAAAAAAUAAUCACAAACUUACACACUAAACUUAAUUUAAAUAAUAAAAAUUAAAGAAAUGUGAUUAAAUUAAGUUUAAUAGAAUUAUAUUUAAUUCACAUAUAUAUAAAUUAAAAAUAAAAAUUAUAUAUGUAAAAAUUUAAAAUUAAUAAAUAUAUAUUUUUAAUUUUUAAUUUUUACUUAAAUGUGAAUUAAUUUAUAUAUAAUUCACAUAUACAUAUAUAUAAAAAAAAAAUUUAUAUAUAUGUAAAUUCAAGUUGGGCCAAACUUGAUUUUUAAAUCUUUUAUCCAAAUUUGAAAUUUAAAUGGACUUAAAAAUUAUGCUCAAACUUGUUUAACGAAUUUUAAUUUUUUAUUCAAAACCUCUUAAAAUUUAAACGAACUUUUAAACUUAGACAAAUAGCCUAGCUCUUGAGCAGAUCUAUGCCUAAUAAUGUUGUUUGUGCCUAAUCAACUGACUUUCUCCUUAAGUUUUUUCUUUUUCUUCAUUUGAUAUGAAAUUUUGUAGUGUUUUUUUUCUUAAGGUUAAAAACCCAAGCUUCUAAAGUUCUAUUUACCAUCAUUUCAUGGAGAACAUUUGCUUACUUUAACAUGUAAUUAUUGGAUAAAGAUAAUAAAACAUUAUAGCAAAAAAUUAAUACCACACCAAACGAUGGUUGACAAUAUGUCACCUUUCAUAAUAUAGAAAUGCACAAAUAUAUGGGCUUACUCUUAUAUAAGGAGAUGCCUUUGGAUAACAAAUUUUAAAAAAUUUUGAUAUAAAAACAUUUUAAAAUACAUCAAUUCACAAUAUUAAUCGAGACUAGAGAUCUUGAUGCAUGUAUGUAACAACCUAUUUUCUAAAUAAAGCUUUCUUUUUCUUUAUUUUUUUUUCCUAUCCAAUUCUUCUUUCAUUUUUUAAAAUUGAUUUCACCGCACCUUUCAAGAAUAAGAAAUUUAGUCAAAGGGAAAUUCUCCAUUAGUCUUUUCCAAGGAAAAUGCCUAACAUUCGGACGAUCAAUAUAUAAAGAUAUUUAUGCCUCCUAUAUGCGUGUUGGAAUACUAGUGAGCUACAUUUUUAAAAGCAAAUAGAAACUGAAAAAAAAAAAUGCAUGAUCUCAAUGGGGUUUUUUAGAUAAUAUCAUAAUUAAUCCUGAUAAGCUUUAAGCUCCGUUUAUUUAUAUACUUAUUAUCUAAAAAAUGAAGUUGAUAUGAUGAGAGAAUAUAUAUAUAUAUAUAUAUAUAUAUGUGUGUGUAUUUAUUUAUUUAUUUUUGAGGAAGAAUCAAUUUGUAUGGUAUAAUUCUUUUUUAACUUUACAUAUUUUUUUAAUUAUUAAUUUCAAUAGAUCUAAAAGAUGAAAUUAAAUUAUUUUUUUUAUUAUUACUUGUCUCCAUUAUUUUUUAAGUCUAUUAAAAUCAAUAAUUUAAAAAUAUGUAAAACUAAAAAAAUACUUAUACUAUGUAAGUAAGUCAGAUCCCUUAUAUAUAUAUAUAUAACUAAAAAAAUUAUAUUGUAUAAUUAAAUCAGAUUCUUACACACACACGCAUCUAUAUAUAUAUAUAAAGAAUGUAGUCAUGUGAAGUUGUAACUUUUUGUCUACAAUAUUUAUAUUUGUACCAUAUGAUAUGAUGAUCAUGAUACCAUAUUUGUAAAUUAAGACCAAGAUAAGUGCUAGGAAUCAAUUACAUUUAAUUUCACAAAGUAAAACCCCUUUAUACCAUCUUUUUCCGUAGUUUUGGUUUAUCAAGUGUUUCAAAGCAUCAAGAAAUUUCCUACCAACAAUCUUAAAAUGAAAUUCUUCUAAAAGAAUCUGAAAUAGAUUUAUCUAUAUCCUUUACCAAAGAUUUGUUGUGGAGCUAUUGUCUUCUUUCAACUUGUUGGUUAAGGGAAAAAUUGAAUUUGAUAAUUUUAGAUACAAUAAUUUUUAAACAUUAUAUAAUAAUAUAAUACAAAAAAAGCAACAUAAUUUAAAAUUGACAAAUCUUAUAUAAAUUUAAUAAAAUUUAAAAAAAUACAUUUCAUUUUUUAUAUAUUAAUAUAAAUUAUAAUAUAAUUUUUUAUAUUUUAUAUAUAUUUAAUAAAAUAUGAUACGAAUAUUUAAAUUAUUAAAUUUAAUAAAAAUAUAAAGAUAGAUAGAUAGAUAGAUAUAUAUAUAUAUAUGCCAUCUCUCUUUUAAAAAUGAGGAAUGACAUUGACAUGAGAGGAGGAAGGCAAGCCAAGCCCCUCCAUUAUCAAGAUUCCUUCUGACUCUUUCUCGAGAGGAGUGUGCUUCUCGCAUGCCUACCUGGCCCCCUAUAUACGAAACAGCACCCUCUCCCUUCUUGCCUCCUCCACCUAUAAAUAAAUGAUCAUGCAAAACUUUGGAGAUAUCUCAACCAUUGCAAGCUAUACCAACUUUAGAAACUCAAAAAACCUUCAUCUCUCAGCUCUCACGUUCAAAAACUUUCCAAGUUCACCAUGUCUGACAAGUGCAGCAACUGUGACUGUGCUGACAAGAGCCAGUGCGUGUAAGUAAUCGAUAAUCCAUCCAUGAUAAACUUCCUUCUAAGGUUGUGUGUGGUUCGAGAUUAUGUUAUUGUUUUAAGUUGUUGUGUUCAUUUCUGCUAAGUUACCGUCAGACUGAACAAAAACUUUUCCAUAGCAGCUAUUUUAUCUUUUCCUACCAUGUUUCCUCAGGGACAACUUGUCGAAACUCGAACUAAUUGCUGUCUUUAAGCUCUUUGUGAGUUUGCAAUCAAGUAUCAUUGCAACUAAAGACUUUUUUCUGCUUUUCUAUGCUUACAGGAAGAAAGGAAACUCCUUGAUCAUUGAGACUGAGAAGAGGUAUACUUUCUGCACUUCACUCUGAUAUCUGCAAAGAAACAAACCAAUAAUAAACAUAAAAUUUCAUAUAUGCUGCUAAGAUCUGAACCAUUCCAUAUAUUUUCAAACAAGCAAUCAAAAACUUCUUGAUCUGAUGCAUGAUUUUCUACCUAUAUAUUCUCCCAAGUACUUAUCAAGAAAAGCAAAAAGAAAUAUGUUUUUCACAGUCGAUGACUCAGAAAUAAAGAAACUUAAUUUGAAGUAUACAUAUGCUAAUUAUAAUCUGUAUUUUGUUCUUUCUGUGCAGCUACAUCAACACUGUUGUCGUUGAGACUCAAGCUGAGAAUGAUGGCCAGUGCAAGUGCGGACCUGGCUGCAGCUGCACAAACUGCACAUGUAGUGGUCAUUAAGCAAACAAAAAAUAAUAAUGUUGUAGUUCAUGGCGACAUCAUGACCUAAAAAAUAAUGAAAUUUGGGUUGAAUGUUUUGUCUUUUGUUGUCUGUGUGUCAUAUGUUUGUGUCUCCUUACAUACUGCGAUCAUGUAAUGGCCAUGUCCAUGGACUUGUCUGUUAAUGAAUUACUAUUAGUAUAACGCUUCUCUGCUUUGCUCUUUCUUUUACACCGGCUACGUGUACAAGGUAAAGGUAAAGUUGCAGUUUGAUUAUAUUGUGGGACUUGAACUGGAAUUUAUUCUCCUGAACUAGAACCAGCUAAACCAAGGGUUAAGAGAAUAGCUAAUCCUGAAAAAUUAUUUUCAUUAUUUUUGAGCUCUGAUCAACCAGUGAUCAAUAUAUUCUACAAAGGGAUACAGUCCAGACAUAAAGACAAAAAGAAACUGAGAAUCACAAUAAUCUGUUCACCAUUUGGCUUCCAUUAUUAAUUAAAUUGUCAUCAAGUUGCCAUCUUUCCACUAACUGUAUACAAUUUUCUUUGCUCAAAAUUUUGACCAAUAUAAGUUACACAACAACACACAAUUAAUAAGAGAGAAAAUUGACAUGGAGAGUCAGCAGCUAAAAGAUAAAAAAGGGCAAAAUGUUUACUCAAGGAACCAAGACAUACCGAGUUCUGUCUCUGUCCAUAUCCUGAGUCAUGAAAGUAUUCUGGCAGUUCCAAUUCAUUCCACAGAGGUAAACAACCUCAUAAAAGCAAAGAAUAUGAAAGAAAUGAAUAGUUGGGAUGCUCCAACACCAAUUUUCAGAAAAAGAUAUCUUUCCUUUAUUCCUAAAUUUUUCAAAUCAUAUCUGUGUAACCCUCUAAUAAAUAGUUUGUACCUCAAAUUCUUUUCAUUCUAUAAACUUUGAAUACCAAUCUCAAACAUUGAAGGCCUCUGCACGAAGUAAAAUACGAUGAGCCUCCAUCCAUUUUGCACAAGCUUUUUCACCAUGCUCAACGAUGCAUUCGUCUCUGAGCUUCUUCGUCUCAGGGCAAGCACAGCAAAUUUUCUUCUUUGGCUUCGAUCUGCACCAGAUGUUUUUUUGCUGACCCCUGAUUUUGUUGCGAGCCAGGCAAAGCUAAGGCAAAGGCAUUUUGCGCAGGCAACCCACCUAUUCUCUGAGGUAGAAAGUGAUCUAAGAUAAUGUGAGAGAAAUAGAGAGAAGAGAUGCCAGAAAAUGGAUCAGCAAAAACAGAACCAAAACUUAUCCAAUUAAGCACAAUGAAGAAAUUCAUCAUAAAGGCAAAGAAAAUAAAGAUAGGCUUUGAUAUCAGUAAUCAUAUGACAACAACAACCUGCAGCUAAUGUCUAUUACUUUUCCUUUUUAUGUCUUACUAAUACUAAUGAAAAGCUAUUAGUUUAUUAUAGUUAUUGAUUCGAUCAGUUCGAUUAAUGUUAAAUUACAUUAUUUAAUAUUAAAUUAAUUAAAUUAUGUGAUUUUAUUUUUAUUAAUUGAAUCAAAUUUUUUAAUUUUAAAAAUUACUGAUCAAAAUUAAUUCGAUUGAUUUUGUUAAUUUUUUUGGUUAACUAAAUAAUCAAAUAAUUAAGUUUAAUUAUAUUUAAAUUUUUAUUUUCUCAUAUGUAAAACAAAUUAAAUAAAGUUAUCCAACGAAAAUAUUUAAACAUUGAAAUAUUACAUUAAAAACUCUAAUAACUUGAAAUAAAAUAAACAAUUCCAUAUAUUUUUAGUUUUAUAUAUAAAUUUUAUAAUAUUUCAGUUAAUUUGAUUUUCAAAUUAAAUUAAUUAAAAACUAAAUUUUAUUUUAAAUUAUUUUUGAAAAUCAAUUGAAAUUAAUUCAAUAAUCAACCAAUUAAUCAAAUUAAAUAAGUUCAAUUGAUUAAUUCAAUCAAAACUAAAUUAUAAACGCUCUUAAUUUGAUAUGCUAUUGGGAAGAAAUUUUGUUUUAUUUGAAUGGGUAUAAAAGAGAAUGAAAAAGUAAAUACCUUAAUUGGGCCUAUUAAAGGGAUAGUAGACUUAGACUAAAUAUUCUUUGGGCUGAACUCCCAAGAAAGAAAAAGGGCAAGUAUAGAUUUUGGCCCAACAAAUGGACUAACAAUUAAAUACCCAAUGAAUCUGAAUUUUAUUUUAUGUAAAAAGAGUAGACAACUCAUAAUUUUUAAUUUCUACUUUAUAUAUAGUUUAAAUUAAAUUUCACUUUAUUCACACAAUUGAUUUUAUGUAUGCUAAAUUAAAAUUUUUUAAUUCGCAACAUAAUAUCACCAUUUGAUCUGAUAAUUGUUUUUUUUAUUUUUUAAAAGCAAUCAUGUAUGUGUGUAUAUAUAAAUAAAUUUUUAUUUUUUACAAAAAAAAAAAAAAACCAAAACUUCAUUUAUCAAAUUGUCAAAAUGGGUUUAUGUAAUAAUCCUAAAAAACUUGAUAUGGACAUGUAAAGGAGAAAAAAAAAACGUGGUAGUGAAGAGGACAAUCAUGAUUUUCUUUGCUAUACAUGAAGAUAAAAAGAUUGAAAACAUAUAUAUAAGGCUAUACUUUGUUCUCAUAAAAUAUUCUAAAGGUUGAGAUCAAACUCUUAAUUGAAGCAUCCCUCAACUCACAACCCCAAACCAUAUAGCAAAUUUGGAAGCCCCAAUUCCUUCUCGGCAUGGAAGUCAAAGCUUCUUAAUAUUUGGUUUGUCAUGGCCCAAUGAAGCCGAACAUGAUCAAGUACUCUAGUUGUAUGGUCAUCGAUUGACUCGUUGUCGUCAAAGGAUACAUAGGCUCAUGCUGUGAAAUCCAUAAAUCUUUCCACUUCUUUGAUGAAACAAGUGUUCGUACUACAUAUUUUGUUGGGGGAGAGUUAAGAAUCUUUUCAUGAAGUGGAUCAUGCGGUUCGCUUAUUCACCAGCUUUCUCUUUCAUCUAAUGUGAAAUAAGCAAACUUACUGUAAGUUCUUAUGGUAAAAAAACCAAAGGAAAAAAAAAUGAAAUGAACUAAACAUUAAGAGAAAAUGUUGGAUUGCUACAACAAAAUGGAUGAGAAAACAUUUACCUUCCAAGAGAAUUAGGUGCAUAUAUUUCCUAUCUUCUUGAAUUGCCAUGAACAACAAUCAAAUUCAACAAUGAGCAGACAAGAAGUUUUGUAAUCCACAACCAUUUUAAGAUCGCUAAGAGAAAAACUUUGAACUCUAGCAUCUUCUCGUCCUACAAAUUUUGUCUAUGUUCAUACUAAUGGUCGGAAAUUGUGUUUAUAUAGACAGUGAAAAAUAAAUACACAUGAAUUUUUAGGACUAAAAAUAUAAUUAUCCUAAAGAUUUUUUUAAAAUAACUUACGAUGUUUAGAGAUUUUUACUAAAUUACUUACGAAAUAUAAUAAUUACCUUGAAGAUUUUUAUAAUGAUCAUAACUUUAGAAGAUUUUGCUAGAUAACUUAUGAAAUAUUCAUUUUAUGCAUUUUUAUAUUUUUAAAUAUAAAUUAUUAAAAUUUUUAAAUCAAAAAAUUUUGCAAUUAAGAUGCCAUUUUAUAUUUUUUUAUGCCUAAUUAAAGGUAUUCAUGGAUCAGACUAAGUUGGGUUCAAGCUAAACUCGUGCUUGGUAUUAAUAGUUUAUAUAUUUGUUUAAGCCCGGCCCAAUCCAAAAUUUCAAGCUUCAAAUUUUUUUCAAGUUCAAUCUAAAUUAAAAAAAUAAAUCUUAAACUCACCCAUUAAACUUAAUUUAUAUAAUAAAAAUUUAAAAAAAAUGAUUAAAUUAAGUUUAAUAGAUAAAUUUAAUUCACAUAUAUAUAAAAUUAAAAAUAAAAAUUAUAUAUGUAAAAAUAAAUAUAAUAAUUAUAUAAAAUAAAUUUUAAAUUUAAUAAAAUAUAUAUUUUAUUUUAAUUUUAUAUAAAUGUGAAUUAAUUUAUAUAUAAUUCACAUAUACAUAUAUGUAAAAAUAAAAAAUUUAUAUAUAUGUAAAUUUCGGCCGAGUCGAACUUGAGUUUUAAAUUUUUUAUCUAAGAUUCAAUUUAAAAUUUAAACGGACCUAAAAAUUAUGCUCCAACUUGUUUAAUUAAUUUUAAUUUUUUGUCCAAACUUUAUUAAAAUUGAAGCAAACUUUCAAACUUGGGCGAAUAGCCCUACUCUUGAACAGAUUUAAUCAUAUUGUGACAAAUUAACUGACUUUCUCUUGAAGUAUAUUUUUUUCUUCCUUUGAUAUGAAAAUUUGUAGCGUUUUUUUUUUUUUCUUAAGGUUAAAAACCCAAGCCUCCAAAGUUCUAUUUACCAUUAAUUCAUGGAGAACAUUUGCUUACUUUAACAUAUAAUUAUUAGAGAAAGAUAAUAGAACAUUACAGCAAAAAAUUAACAUCACACCAAACGAUGGUUGAUAAUAUGACACCCUUCAUAAUAUAGAAAUGCACAAAUAUAUGAGCUUUUGGAUAACAAAUUUUAAAAAAUUUUGAUAUAAAAACAUUUUAAAACACAUCAAUUCACAAUAUUAAUCGAGACUAGUGAUCUUGAUGCAUGUUUUUAACAACCUAUUUUCUAAAUAAAGCUUUCUUUUUUCUUUUUUUUUCUAUCCAACUCUCUUCUCAUUUUUUUAGAUUGAUUUCACUUAGCUUUUCAAGAAUAAGGAAUUUAUAUAUAAUUUUUUUUUAGUAAUGAACCAAAGAGAAACUCUCCAUCAGUCUGUUCCAAGGGAAAUGCCUAACAUUUUGAUGGUCAAUAUAUAAGGGUAUUUAGGCCUAAUAUAUGCGUGUUGGAAUACUAGUGAGCUACAUUUUUAAAAGCAAAUAGAAACUUAAAAAAAAGCGUGAUGUCAAUGGGGUUUUUGGAUAAUAUCAUAAUCAUAAUUAAUCCUGAUAAGCUUUAAGCUCCUUUUAUUUAUAUAUUUAUUAAUUUAAAAGUUGAUAUGAUGAGAGAGUAUAUAUAUAUUAAGAAUGUAAUCAUGUGAAGAUGUAACUUUUGUCUACAAGAUUGAUAUUUUUACCAUAUGAUAUGAUGAUCCUAAUACCAUAUUUGUAAAUUAAAACCAAGAUAAGUGCUGAGAAUGUCAAUGCUCAAAAUCAAUUACAAUUAAUUUCACAAAGUAAAACCCCUUUUUACCAUCUUUUUCCCUAGUUUUGGUUUAUCAAAGUGUUUCAAAGCAUCAAGAAAUUUCCCACCAACAAUCUUGAAAAGAAAUUAGCAAAUAUUAGUUAUGGAGCUACUAUCUUCUUUCAACUUGUUGAUUGAGAGAAAAAUUAAGCUUGAAAAUUUUAAAUAUAAUAAUUUUUAAACAUCACAUAAUAAUAUAAUGCGAAAAUUUUAUAAAAAAUUACAUAAAAUUAAUACAAUUUAAAAUUGACAAAUCAUAUAAAAAUUUGAUAAAAAUUAAAGAAAAAAUACAUUUCAUAUUUAACAUAUUAAUAUAAAUUAUAAUAUAAUAAUUUUUAUAUUUUAAACAUAUUUAAUAAAAUACCAUACGAAUAGAUGUAUUAUUUAAUUUGUAAAGAUAUAUAGAUAGAUAUCUAUACUGGAAUAUAUGCCAUCUCUCUUUUAAAAACGAGAAAUGACAUUGACAUAAUAGGAGGAUAGCAUCACAGCAAGCCAAGCCCCUUCAUUAUCAAGAUUCCUUCCGACUCUUCCUCAAGAGGCGUGUGCUUCUCUCAUGCCUACCUGGGCCCCCCGUACACGAAACAGUACCCUCUCCCUUCUUUCCUCCUCCUAUCUAUAAAAUACAUGAUCAUGCAAAGCUUUGGAGAUAUAGCAAUCCAUUGCAGGCUAUAACAACUUAAGAAACUCAAAAAACCUUCAGCUCUCAGUUCUCACGUUCAAAAACUUUCCAAGUUCACCAUGUCUAACAAGUGAGGCAACUGUGACUGCACUAACAAGAGCCAAUGCAUGUAAGUAAUCGAUAAUCUAUCCAUGAUAAACUUCCUUCGAUGUGUGGUUUGAGAUUAUGUUAUUGUUUUAAGUUAUGUUCAUUUUUGCCUUGUUGCCAUCAGGCUGAACAAAAACUUUUCAAUAGCAGUCAUUUUAUCUUUUCCUACCAUGUUUCCUCAGGGACAACGUGUGGAAACUUGAACUAAUUGUUAUCUUUAAUCUCUUUGUAAGUUUGAAAUCAAGUAUCAUUGAAACUAAAGGCUUUUUUUUUUUUUGCUUUUCUACGCUUACAGGAAGAAGGGAAACACCUUGGUCACUGAGACUGAGAAGAGGUAUAUGCUCUGCACUUCACUCUGAUAUCUGCAAAGAAAUAAAUCAAUAAUAAACAUAAAAUUUCGUAUGCUACAAAGAUCUGAAACAUUUCUUAGAUUUCAAAUAAGCAAUCAAAAACUUUCAUAUGCAUUUAGUUUUUAGAUAUAGCUUUUAUAAUAUUUCGAUUAAAAUUUUGGUUAAUUCGAUUUUUGAGCUAAAUUAAUUAAAAGUUAAAAUUUUUAUAAAACUAUUUUUAAAAACCAACUGAAAUUAAUUCAAUUAUUGACCAAUUAACCAAAUUAAAUUAGUGCAAUAAAUUAAAAUCAAAUUAUGAACACCCCUAAUUUUGAGAUGCUGUUAGAAAAGAAAAUUAGUUUUAUUUGAAUGGGUAUAGAAAAGAAAGAAAAAGAAAAGACUUUAAGCAAUGACAGGUCUAUGGAUAUGGCAGACUUUGGACCUGUGAAAUGGAUAGUAAACUUAAACUGGCUAUCUUUUGGGCUGAACUCCCAAAAAAUAAAAAUGUCGAGACUAGAUUUUGGCUCAACAAAUGACAAACAAUUAAAGGUUUAAUGCAUCUGAAUUUUAUUCUAUGUAAAAAGAGUACACAACCCAUAAUUUUUAAUUUCUACUUCAUAUAUAGUUUAAAUUAAAUUUCACUUCAUUCGCAUAAUUGAUUUUAUGCAUACUAAUUUCAAUCUUUUAUUUUAUUCCCCAACAUAAUAUCAUGAUUUGAUUAGAUAAUUGAAUUUUUAUUUUUCAAAAGUAUUCAUUUAUGCGUGUAUAUAUAAAUAAAUUUUUAUUUUUUACCAAAAAAACAUAAACCAAUGCUUCAUUCAUCAAAUUGUCAAAAUGGGUUUGAUUUUUUAUGUAAUAAUCCAAAAAAACUUGACAUGGACAUGUAAGGGAGAAAAAAAAAAAAAAGAAAGGUGGUAGUGAAGAGGACAACCAUGAUUUUUCCUUGCUAUACAUGAGGAUAAAAAGAUUGAAAACGUAUAUAUAAGGCUAUACUUUGUUUUCAUAAAAUCUUCCAAGGUUGAGAUCAAACUCUCCAAUUAGAACAUCCCUUGACACAAAGCCUCAAACCAUAUAGCGAAUUCGGGAGCCCAAAUUUCUUUUCGGCAUGGAAGGUGAAACUUCUUAAUAUUUCAUUUGUCAUGGCCCGAUAAAACAGAACUUGAUCAAGUAGUCCAAUUGUAUGAUCAUUAAUUGACUCUUUAUUGUCAAACGAUACAUAAGCUCGUGCUGUGAAAUCCAUAAACGCAACAGUACCCUCUCCCUUCUUGCCUCCUCCAUCUAUAAAUACAUGAUCUUGCAAAGCUUUGGAGAUGUAGCAAUCCAUUGCGAGCAAUAACAUGUUUAGAAACUCAAAAAAACCUUCAGCUCUCAGUUCUCACGUUCAAAAACUUUCCAAGUUCACCAUCUCUGACAAGUGCGGCAAUUGUGACUGCGCUGACAAGAGCCAGUGGGUGUAAGUAAUCGAUAAUCCAUCCAUGAGAAACUUCAUUCUAGGGUUGUGAGUGGUUUGAGAUUAUGUUAUUGUUUUAAGUUGUUAUGUUCAUUUCUGCCAUGUUACCGUCAGGCUGAACAAAAACUUUUCAAUAGCAGCCAUUUUAUCUUUUCCUACCAUGUUUCCUCGGGGACAACCUGUGGAAACUCAAACUAAUUGUUAUCUUUAAGCUCUUUGGGAGUUUGCAAUCAAGUAUCGUUGAAACUAAAAGCUUUUCUAUGCUUACAGGAAGAAGGGAAACACCUUGGUCAAUGAGACUGAGAAGAGGUAUACUUUCUGCAAUUCACUUGAUAUCUGCAAAGAAACAAACCAAUAAUAAACAUAAAAUUUCAUAUAUGCUACUAAGACCUGAGCCAUUCCUUAGAUUUUCAAACAAGCAAUCAAAAACUUCUUGAUCUGAUGCAUGAUUUUCUACAGUCAUAUUCUCCGAAGUACUUAUCCAGAGAGGCAAAAAGAACUAUGUUUUUCACAGUCGAUGAAUCGAGAAUUAAGAAACUUAAUUUAAAGUAUACAUAUGCUAAUUGUAAUCUGCAUUGUGUUCUUUCUGUGCAGCCACAUCAGCACUGUUGUCGUUGAGACUCCAGCUGAAAAUGAUGGCAAGUGCAAGUGCGGAGGCUGCAGCCGCACAAACUGCACAUGUGGUGCUCAUUAAGCAAACAUAAAAUAAUAAUGUUGCAGUUCAUGGCGAUAUAAUGGCCUAAAAAACAAUGAAACUUGGGUUGAAUGGUUUGUCUUUUGUUGUCUGUCAAUAAUGGUUUGUCUUUUGUUGUCUGUCAAUCGUAUGUUUGUCUUUUCAAAAUUUCAAAUUAAAUUAUUCAAAAUCGAAUUAAUCGAAUUUUGUUAUUUUAUUUUUAUUAAUUAUAUCAAUUUUUUAAUUUUAAAAAUUAAUCGACUGAAAUUAAUUUGAUUGAUUCAAUUAAUUUUUUUGAUUAAUCAAAUAAUAAAAUUUAUUGAGUUAAAUUUUAUUUUAAAAUUUUUUGUUUCAUAUGUGAAACAAAUUAAAUAACAUCAUCUAACAAAAAUAUUCAAACAUCAAAGUAUUAAAUUAAAAACUCUUGAAAUAAAUUUGAUAAUUUCAUAUAUUUUUAGUUUUAUAUAUAGAUUUUAUAGUAUUUCGAUUAAACUUUCGGUUAAUUUAAUUUUUGAAUCAAAUUAAUUGAAAACUAAAAUUUUUUAAAAUUAUUUUUAAUAACUAAUCAAAAUUAAUUCAAUGACUAACCGACUAACCAAAUUAAAUCAAUUCGGUUGAUUAAUUUGGUUUUGAACACCCCUACUUUGAGAUGCUAUUGGAAAGAAAAUUUCUUUUAUUUGAAUGGGUAUCAAUAAGAAUGAAAAGAAAAGACUUUAAACAAUGACAGACUUGUGGAUAUAUAUAGCAGAAAUAUUUUUUAGGCUGAAUUCGCGAAUAAAGAAAAAGGCCAAGACUAGAUUUUGGCUCAACAUAUGGACUAAUAAUUAAAGGCCCAAUUUAUCUGAAUUUUAUUUUAUGUUAAAAAAAAGACAACUCAUAAUUUUUAAUUUCUACUUCAUAUAUUGUUUAAAUUAAAUUUCACUUCAUUCACAUAAUUGAUUUUAUGUAUGCUAAUCUAAAUAUUUUUUCCCAAAUAAUAUCAUUAUUUGGUUUGAUAAGUGUUUUAUUACUUUUUUUAAAAGCAUUCAUGUAUGCUUGUGUAUAUAAAUAUUUUUUUUUUUUUUUUGAAAAAAACAUACACCAAUACUUCACUUAUAAAAUUGUCAAAAUGGGUUUAUUUUUUAUAUAAUAAUCCUAAAAAACUUGAUACGGACAUGUAAAGGAGAGAAAAAAAAAUAAGUGGUAGUAAAGAGGACAACCAUGAUUUUUCUUUGCUAUACAAGGAUUAAGAGAUUGAAAACUUAUAUGUAAGGCUAUACUUUGUUCUCAUAAAAUCUUCAAAGGUUGAGAUCGAACUCUUCAAUCAAACUAUCCCUCAACACACUGCCCAAAAUGAUAUAGCAAAUUCUGAAGCCCCAAUUUCUUCCCGGCAUGGAAGUUUAAGCUUAUUAAUAUUUGGUUUGUCAUGGCCCGAUGAGGCAGAACAUGAUCAAGUACUCCAGUUUUAUGAUCAUCCAUUGACUCAUUGUCAUCAAAGAAUACGUAUGCUCAUCCUGUGAAAGCCAUAAAUCUUUCCACUUCCUUGACGAAACAAGGGUUCGUACUGCAAAUUUUGUAGGGGGGAAGGUUGAGAAUCUUUUCACGAAGUGGAUCAUGCAAAUCGCUUAUUCAACAACUUUCCCUUCAUCUGAUAUGAAAUAAGCAAAUUUACUGUAAGUUAUUAUAGUAAAAAAAAAAAAACAAAGGAUAAAAAUUUGAAAUGAACUAAAACAUUAAGAGAAAAUGUUGGAUAGCUACAACAAAAUGAAAGAGAAAAUAUUUACCUUCUAAGAGAAGUAGGUGCAUAUAUUUCCUAUCUUCUUGAAUUGCCACGAACAACAAUCAAAUGCAACAAUGAACAGACAAGAAUUCUUGUAAUCCACAAACAUUUUAAGAUCGCUAAGAGAAAAACUUUGAACUCUAGCAUCUUCUCAUCCUACAAAUUUUAUCUAUGUUUAUACUAAUGGCCGAAAACUGUGUUUAUAUAGACAGUGAAAAAUAAAUGCACAUAGAUUUUUAGGACUAAAAAUAUAACUAUUCUAAAGAUUUUCUUUAAAUAACUUACGAUGUUUGGAGAUUUUUACAAGAUUACUUACGAAAUAUAACAAUUAUCUUGAAGAUUUUUACACUAAUCAUAAUUUUAAAUGAUUUUAUAUUUUUUAAAUAUAUAUUAUCAAAAUUUUUAAAUUAAAAAAUUCUAUAAUUAAUGUGCCAUUUUAUAUUUUGUUAUACCUAAUUAGAGGUGUUUUUGAGUCAGAUCGUGUUGGGUUCGGCUUGAGCUCAUACAUGAUUUUAAUAGCUUAUAUGUUUGUUUAAGCCCAACACAAAAUUUCAUGCUUUAAAAUUUUUUCAAGUUCAACCUAAAUUUUAAAAAAUAAAUCCCAAACUCACCCAUUAAACCUAAUGUAUAUAAUAAAAUUAAAAAAAAUGUAAUUAAAUUAAGUUUAAUAGAAUUAUAUUUAAUUCACAUAUAUAUAUAAAUUAAAAAUAAAAUUAUAUAUGUAAAAUUUAAAAAUUAAGAUUAAUAAAAUAUAUAAUUUUGUUUUUAUUUUUAUAUAAAUGUGAAUUAAUUUAUUUAUAAUUCAUAUAUACAUAUAUAUAAAUAAAAAAUUUAUAUAUAUGUGAAUUCAGUCCAGGCCAAAUUUGAGUUUUAAUCCAAGAUUCAAUUCGAAUUUAAACGGAUUUAAAAAUUGUGAUCAAACCCGUUUAAUAAGUUUUAAUUUUUUAUCAAUACCCUCUCAAAAUUUAAAUGAACUUUCGAGCUUGGAUGAAUAGUCCAACUCUUGAAUAAAUCAAAUCAUAUUGUGACCGAUCAACUGACUUUCUCUUGAAGUUUUUUUGGUUAUAUGAAAAUUUAUAGUGCUUUUUUUUAAAGGUUAAAAACCCAAGCUUCUAAAGUUCUAUUUACCAUUAUUUCAUGGAGAACAUUUGCUUCCCUUAACGUAUAAUUAUUAGAUAAAGAUAAUAGAGCAUUACAGCAAAAAAUUAAUACCACACCAAACAAUGAUUGACAAUAUGUCACCUUUCAUAAUAUAGAAAUGCACAAAUAUAUGGGCUUACUCUUACAUAAGAAGAUGCCUUUGGAUAACAAUUUUCAAAAAAAUUUUGAUAUAAAAACAUUUUAAAAUACAUCAAUUCACAAUAUUAAUUGAGACUAGUGAUCUUGAUGUAUGUUUGUAUUAAUCUAUUUUUUAAAUAAAGCUUUUUAUCUUUUUUUUUUCCUAUCCAACUUUCUUUGCACUUUUUUAGAUUGAUUUCACCUAACUUUUCAAGAAUAAAGAACUUAUAUAUAAUUUUUUUUUAGUAAUGAGUCAAAGAGAAAUUCUCCUUCGGUCUUUUCCAAAGGAAAUGCCUAACAUUUGGAUGGUCAAUAUAUAAGGGUAUUUGUGCCUAAUAUACACAUGUUGGAAUACUAGUGAGCCACAUUUUAAAAGCAAAUAGAAAACUGAAAAAAAAAAAUGCAUGACCUCAAUGAGGGUUUUGAGAUAAUAUCAUAAUUAAUCCUAUAAGCUUAAAGCUCCAUUUAUUUAUAUAUUUAUUAUCUAAAAAAUAAAGUUGAUGUGACGAGAGAAUACAUAUAUAUAUAUAUAUAUAUAUAUAAAUGAGGAUGAAUCAAUUUUUAUAAUGUAAUUCAUUUUUAGUUUUACAUAUUUUUUUAAUUAUUGAUUUUAAUAAAUUUAAGAGAUGAGAUUAAAUCAUUAUUUUUUAUUGUUACUUGUCUUUCUUUUUUUUUUAAAUCUUUUAAAAUUAAUGAUUACAAAAUAUAUAAAACUAAAAAAAAAUUAUUGUGUAAUUAAAUCAAUCCCUCUCAUAUAUAUAUAUAUAUAUAUAUAUAUAUUAAGACUGUAAUCAUGUGAAGAUGUAACUUUUUGUCUACAAGAUUGAUAUUUGUUAUGAUCCUAAUAUCAUAUUUGUAAUUAAGACCAAGAUAAGUGCUAGGAAUGUCAAUGUUCAAAAUCAAUUACAUUUAAUUUUACAAAGUAAAACGCCUUUUUACCAUCUUUUUCGCUAGUUUUGGUUUAUCAAGUGUUUCAAAGCAUCAAGAAAUUUCCUAACAACUAUCUUGAAACGAAAUUCUCCUUGGAGAAUCUGAAAUAGAUCUCUCCAUGUUCUCUUGUCAAAUUUUGUUUUAGAGCUACUAUCUUUUUUCGACUUGUUGAUUGAGAAAAAUAUUAAACUUGAUAAUUUUAGACAUGAUAUAAUAAUAUAAUAUAAAAUUAAUUUACAAAAAAUAUGAAAGCAAUAUAGUUUAAAAUUAACAAAAAUCAUAUAUAAAUUUAUUAAAAAUAAAAAAAAAUAUAUUUUAUAUUUAAUGUAUCAACACAAAUUACAAUAUAAUAAUUUUUAUAUUUUACAUAUAUUUAAUAAGAUAUAAUACGAACAUAUAAGUUAAUAAAUUUUAUAAAGAUAGAUAUCUAUACUUGUAUAUAUGCCAUCUCUUUUUCAAAAACGAGAAAUGAUAUUGACACCAGAGGAGGAUAGCAAGCCAAGGCCCUCCAUUAUCAAGAUUCCUUCUGACUCUUCCUCGAGAGGCGUGCUUUUCUCUCAUGCCUAAGCCCCCCAUGCACGAAACGGUACCCUCUCCCUUCCUACCUCCUCCAUCUAUAAAUACAUGAUCAUGCAAAGCUUUGAAGAUAUAGCAAUCCAUUGCAAGUUGUAACAACUUUAGAAACUCAAAAAACCUUCAGCUCUCAGUUCUCACGUUCAAAAACUUUCCAAGUUCACCAUGUCUGACAAGUGCGGCAACUGUGACUGCGCUGACAAGAGCCAGUGCGUGUAAGUAAUCGAUAAUCCAUCCAUGAUAAACUUCCUUCUAGGGUUGUGUGUGGCUUGAGAUUGUGUUGUUGUUUUAAGUUAUGUUCAUUUCUGCCAUGUCACCGUCAGGCUGAAUAAAAACUUCUCAAUAGCAGCCAUUUUAUCUUUUCCAACCAUGUUUCCUCAGGGACAACCUGUGGAAACUCGAAGUAAUUGUUAUCUUUAAGCUCUUUGUGAGUUUGCAAUCAAGUAUCAUUGAAACUAAAGGCUUUUUUUUUGCUUUUCUAUGCUUACAGGAAGAAGGGAAACACCUUGGUCAUUGAGACCGAGAAGAGGUAUACUUUCUGCACUUCACUCUGAUAACUGCAAAGAAACAAAACAAUAAUAAACAUAAAAUUUCAUAUGCUACUAAGACCUAAGCCAUUCCUUAGAUUUUCAAACAAGCAAUCAAAAACUUCUUGAUCUGAUGCAUGAUUUUCUACAUACAUAUUCUCCUAAGUACUUAUCUAGAGAGGCAAAAAGAAAUAUGUUUUUCGCAGUUGAUGAAUCGAGGAUUAAGAAAUUUAAUUUGAAGUAUACAUAUGCUAAUUAUAAUCUGUAUUGUGUUCUUUCUGUGCAGCUACAUCAACACUGUUGUCGUUGAGACUCCAGCUGAGAAUGAUGGCAAGUGCAAGUGCGGAGCUAGCUGCAGCUGCACAAACUGCACAUGUGGUGGUCAUUAAGCAAACAUAAAAUAAUAUUGUUGUAGUUCAUGGCGAUAUCAUGACCUAAAAAAUAAUGAAAUUUGGGUUGAAUGAUUUGUCUUUUGUUGUCUGUCUGUCAUAUGUUUGUGUCUCCUUACAUACUGUGAUCAUGUAAUGGCCAUGUCCAUGGACUUGUCUUGUUAAUGAAUUACUAUUAGUAUAACUUUUCUC